CCUGGGAUAGCUCAGUUGGUAGAGCAUGAGACUUUUAAUCUCAGGGUUGUGGGUUUGGGCAAAAGAUUCUUGCAUUGCAGGG